UAAAAAUUAAUUUUUUAUUUAUAGGUAUUGCAUAUCAAUUAAAGAAAAUUUUAUAAUUUAUAAAAUAUAGAAUUAAAAGGUAGAAAUUUUUAUAUUUUUAUUGUUUCAUAAUAAAAAUUAUAAAAUUUAGGGUUGAAAAGUCGACUUUUAGGAUAUUUGUGUGAUAAUAAUUUAUUAGAAAUUUAUAAUUUUUAGGUAAUAAUAAUAUAAAAAGUAAAAGUUGAAGUAUUUUUAUAGAUAGUUUUAUAACUAUUUAUGUGUUUAUUUUAUUAACAGUUUAAGGAAGAGCUAAAUUUAUUAAGAUGUGUAAUAAUUUUAUUAUUUUAAUAUAAGUAAUUUUAAAAAUUAUUUGUGAUUAUUUAAUUUAAUAAAAUAACUAAAUAAUUAAUCAAAUGUUUUUUAAAGACUUAGACUUUCAAGUAAAGUUUGCUUCUGCCCAAUGAAUAUUUUUAAAUGGCAGUCUUAGCGUGAGGACAUUAAGGUAGCAAAAUAAUUUGUGCUUUUAUUGAGUUCCAGUAUGAAUGAAGUUAUUGGUUAAUUAUCUUUUUAUUUUGUUUAUGAAUUUAAUUUAAUAUAAAAAAAUAUUGUUGUAAUAAUACAAAGAUAAGUCUUCGGAAAUUCUUUUUUAAAAUUGACAGAUUUUGUUAAUUUUAAAAAUUUUCUAGGGCAGAAUUUUAUAUAAUUGGUUAUUCUAUUAAUAAUUAUAAGAAUUACUCCGGAGUUAACAGAAAAUCAUACCCAAUCUAGUUCUUAUAGUAAGGUAAGUUUUACAUCGAUGUUGUAUUUGAGUUUAUUAAAAAAGGAGAAUAUUUAAGUUUUAAGACUGUUCUUCUUUUAAUUAAUUUAACGUGAUAUUAGUUUAAUUCAUUGUGAGAUAGAAUUGUUUAUCUUGAUUAUUAUUAAGUUAUAGUUUUAAUAGUACGAAAGGAAAAUUAAAAAAAGUUUUAAACUUUUUAAAAGAAAAAUUUCUUA
rnacentral:rRNA from 1 species